rnacentral:tRNA from 1 species
GCCUCGGUAGCUCAGCGGCUAGAGCAGCAGAUUUGUAAUCUGCAGGUCGGGGGUUCAAAUCCCUCUCGGGGCU